UACGUAGGAUGCAAGCGUUGUCCGGAAUUAUUGGGCGUAAAGAGCGCGCAGGCGGUCUGCCAAGUCAGAUGUGAAAUAUCCCGGCUUAACCGGGAGGGGUCAUUUGAAACUGGUAGACUAGAGUACAGCAGAGGAUAGUGGAAUUCCCGGUGUAGUGGUGAAAUGCGUAGAUAUCGGGAGGAACACCAGUGGCGAAGGCGACUAUCUGGGCUGAAACUGACGCUGAGGCGCGAAGGCUAGGGGAGCAAACAGG
rnacentral:rRNA from 1 species